GGAGGUCGACGACCGGCGCACGGGUGAGUAACGCGUAUGCAACCUACCUUUUACAGGAGGAUAGCCCAGAGAAAUUUGGAUUAAUACUCCAUAGUACUAAUGAAUCACCUGGUUUAUUAGUUAAAACUCCGGUGGUAAAAGAUGGGCAUGCGUGUCAUUAGCUAGUUGGUAAGGUAACGGCUUACCAAGGCGAAGAUGACUAGGGGUUCUGAGAGGAAGAUCCCCCACACUGGUACUGAGACACGGACCAGACUCCUACGGGAGGCAGCAGUGAGGAAUAUUGGUCAAUGGGUGAGAGCCUGAACCAGCCAUGCCGCGUGAAGGAAGACUGCCCUAUGGGUUGUAAACUUCUUUUCUGCAGGAAGAAAUCACUCUACGUGUAGGGUGUUGCCGGUACUGCAGGAAUAAGCAUCGGCUAACUCCGUGCCAGCAGCCGCGGUAAUACGGAGGAUGCAAGCGUUAUCCGGAUUUAUUGGGUUUAAAGGGUGCGUAGGCGGGCUUGUAAGUCAGUGGUGAAAUGCUGUGGCUUAACCAUAGAAUUGCCAUUGAAACUGCAAGUCUUGAGUACAGUUGAGGUGGGCGGAAUGAGUACUGUAGCGGUGAAAUGCAUAGAUAUUACUCAGAACUCCGAUUGCGUAGGCCAGCUUGCUAAACUGUAACUGACGCUGAUGCACGAAAGCGUGGGGAGCGAACAGGAUUAGAUACCCUGGUAGUCCACGCUGUAAACGAUGAACACUGGUUGUUGGCAAUACACCGUCAGCGACUGAGCGAAAGUAUUAAGUGCUCCACCUGGGGAGUACGUCGGCAACGAUGAAACUCAAAGGAAUUGACGGGGGCCCGCACAAGCGGAGGAACAUGUGGUUUAAUUCGAUGAUACGCGAGGAACCUUACCUGGGCUUAAAUGUAGAGUGCAUUGCUUGGAAACAGGCAUUUUCUUCGGAACUCUUUACAAGGUGCUGCAUGGUUGUCGUCAGCUCGUGCCGUGAGGUGUCGGGUUAAGUCCCAUAACGAGCGCAACCCCUAUUGUUAGUUACCAGCACGUAAUGGUGGGGACUCUAGCAAGACUGCCGGUGUAAACCGUGAGGAAGGUGGGGAUGACGUCAAAUCAGCACGGCCCUUAUGUCCAGGGCUACACACGUGUUACAAUGGCAAGUACAAAGAGCAGCCACCUGGCGACAGGGCGCUAAUCUCAAAAGCUUGCCUCAGUUCGGAUCGAAGUCUGCAACUCGACUUCGUGAAGGUGGAUUCGCUAGUAAUCGCGCAUCAGCCAUGGCGCGGUG
rnacentral:rRNA from 1 species